rnacentral:rRNA from 1 species
GACGAACGCUGGCGGCGUGCCUAAUACAUGCCAGUAGAACGCUGAAGAGAGGAGCUUGCUCUUCUUGGAUGAGUUGCGAACGGGUGAGUAACGCGUAGGUAACCUGCCUUGUAGCGGGGGAUAACUAUUGGAAACGAUAGCUAAUACCGCAUAACAAUAGGUGACACAUGUCAUUUAUUUGAAAGGGGCAAUUGCUCCACUACAAGAUGGACCUGCGUUGUAUUAGCUAGUAGGUGAGGUAACGGCUCACCUAGGCGACGAUACAUAGCCGACCUGAGAGGGUGAUCGGCCACACUGGGACUGAGACACGGCCCAGACUCCUACGGGAGGCAGCAGUAGGGAAUCUUCGGCAAUGGGGGCAACCCUGACCGAGCAACGCCGCGUGAGUGAAGAAGGUUUUCGGAUCGUAAAGCUCUGCUGUAAGUCAAGAACGAGUGUGAGAGUGGAAAGUUCACACUGUGACGGUAGCUUACCAGAAAGGGACGGCUAACUACGUG